rnacentral:ncRNA from 2 species
CCGCGCCUGCGUAACUGGCGCUAGAGAUGGUCACCAUCGGGGAGCGCGGGCGUGAUUUCUACGUCGCGCGCCUGGGCUCCAUCA